rnacentral:lncRNA from 1 species
AUGAGGGAAAUCGUGCUCACGCAGACCGGGCAGUGCGGGAACCAGAUCGGGGCCAAGUUCUGGGAGGUGAUCUCUGAUGAACAUGCCAUCGACUCCGCUGGCACCUACCACGGGGACAGCCACCUGCCGCUGGAGCGCGUCAACGUGCACCACCGCGAGGCCAGCGGUGGCAGGUACGUGCCUCGCGCUGUGCUCGUGGAUCUGGAGCCGGGCACCAUGGACUCCGUGCGCUCGGGGCCCUUCGGGCAGGUCUUCAGGCCAGACAACUUCAUUUCCCGUGAGCUGCGGGCGAGGACUGGGGUGCGGCUCCUUAGCCAGGGCAGCUCAAAAUCCAGGAACGCUCCAAGGUCAUCCUGUGGGAACUGUGGCGCCAGGGCCCCUGAACACCCUCCUGUCCUCCGAGUCGAGUCGCUCAAUCUGCCUCUCUUAAACGGGCUUCGGGAGGAAGGCCCGGGUGUCUUCUCAAGGUCAGUGUGGGGCCGGAAACAACUGGGCCAAGGGACGCUACACCGAAGGCGCGGAGCUGAUGGAGUCAGUGAUGGACGUUGUCAGAAAGGAGGCUGAGAGCUGUGACUGCCUGCAGGGUUUCCAGCUGACCCACUCCCUGGGUGGGGGGACUGGGUCUGGGAUGGGUACCCUUCUCAUUAGUAAGAUCCGGGAGGAGUACCCAGACAGGAUUAUAAACACAUUGAGCAUCCUGCUCUUGCCCAAGGUGUCAGACACGGUGGUGGAGCCCUACAACGCCACCCUCUCAGUCCACCAGCUCAUAGAAAACGCAGAUGAGACCUUCUGCAUAGAUAACGAAGCGCUAUAUGACAUAUGUUCCAAGACCCUAAAACUGCCCACACCCAUCUAUGGUGACCUGAACCACCUGGUGUCUGCUACCAUGAGUUGGGGUCACCACGUACCUGCGCUUCCCGGGCCAGCUGAAUGCUGACCUGAGGAAGCUGGCCGUGAACAUGGUCCCGUUUCCCCGGCUGCAUUUCUUCAUGCCCGGCUUUGCCCCACUGACCAGCCGGGGCAGCCAGCAGUACCGGGCCUUGACUGUGGCUGAGCUCACCCAGCAGAUGUUUGAUGCUAAGAACAUGAUGGCUGCCUGUGACCCCCGUCAUGGCCGCUACCUAACGGUGGCUGCCAUUUUCAGGGGUCGCAUGCCCAUGAGGGAGGUGGAUGAACAGAUGUUCAACAUUCAAGAUAAGAACAGCAGCUACUUUGCUGACUGGCUCCCCAACAACGUAAAAACAGCCGUCUGUGACAUCCCACUCCGGGGGCUAAAAAUGUCAGCCACCUUCAUUGGGAAUAAUACGGCCAUCCAGGAACUCUUCACAUGUGUCUCAGAGCAGUUUACAGCAAUGUUCAGGCGCAAGGCCUUCCUCCACUGGUACACAGGCGAGGGCAUGGAUGAGAUGGAAUUCACCGAGGCCGAGAGCAACAUGAAUGACCUGGUGUCUGAAUAUCAGCAAUAUCAGGAUGCCACGGCCGAGGAGGAGGAUGAGGAGUAUGCCGAGGAGGAGGUGGCCUAG